CUUAACCAAAUACACUCUUUAACUGAAUACAAAGCUAUUCCUGCAGUUGGGGUUUUUUUCAAUUUCUCUCUCAAUGUCCUCAAUCAAGAGAUUGGGAAAUACUGGCUUCAAGAAUUUGAACUCACCAGUCCUAGGAACUCCCGUCAGACGCAUGUCAUACUGGUAGCUGUGGGACAGGGUCCCCGUGCCGCUGACGUCCACCAGGUGGCCCGCAAACGGGCCCUCGGGCACCGCGCAGCCGCCCCCCGACGCCGCCCGGCUCCUCCUGCACAGCCGCACCGCCACGAACACCAGCACCGACACCAGGAAGAGCGACGACACCGACGCCAAGGCGAUGACCAAGUAGACGGUGAGCGGGUCGGCCCGGGCCUCGGCCGCCGCCACGUCCGGCAGCGGCAGGUAGGGCUGCGAGAAGCCGUCCACCAGCAGCACGUGCAGCGUGACGCUGGCCGACAGCGGCGGCUCGCCAUUGUCCUUGACCAGCACCAGCAGCCUGUGCUUGACGGCGUCGCGCUCGCUCAGCAGCCGGGCCGUGCGCACCUCGCCGUUGUGCGCCCACACGCCGAACAGCCCGGGCUCCGUGGCCUUGAGCAGCUGGUACGACAGCCAGGCGUUCUGGCCCGAGUCGCCGUCCACCGCCACCACCUUGGUCACCAGGUAGCCCGCCUCGGCCGCCCUGGGCACCAGCUCGGUGCAGGGCGCCGAGCCGUUCUGCAGCGGGUACAGCACGAAGGGCGCGUUGUCGUUGUCGUCCACCACCAGCACGCGCACCAGCGCCUGGCUGCUGAGCGCGGGCGAGCCGCGGUCGGCCGCGCGCACGCCGAACUCGAACGCCUGCAGCGCCUCGUAAUCCAGCGCCCUGAGCGCGAACAGCUGCCCGUUGUCCGCGUUGAUGGACACCAGCGAGGCCAGGGGCAGGUGCGGGUCGUGGGGCGGCAGCAGCAGCGAGUAGGUGACCUGGGCGUUGGCGCCCGCGUCUCUGUCGGUGGCGCUCACGCUGCCGAUGUGCAGGGCGGGGCUGUUGUUCUCGCGGACCCGCAGGGUGUAGGAGCUUUGGCUGAAGGCGGGGGCGUUGUCGUACGUCGGACACCGUCACGCUUAAGUUGUGCUGGGUUUUCAGCCUGGGGGUCCCCAGGUCGGUGA
rnacentral:lncRNA from 1 species